rnacentral:rRNA from 1 species
GAUGAACGCUGACAGAAUGCUUAACACAUGCAAGUCGAUGGGGAAGCGGUGCUUGCACCGUGAAACCAUGGCGGACGGGUGAGUAACGCGUAAAGAACUUGCCGAAUGGACUGGGAUAACAGCUGGAAACGGCUGAUGAGACCGGAUAUUAUGAACUUGCUGCAUAGUAAGUUUAUGAAAAGAGAUGCCAUUUGAGAGCUUUGCGUCCUAUUAGCUAGUUGGUAAGGUAACGGCUUACCGAGGCGAUGAUAGGUAGCCGGCCUGAGAGGGUGGACGGCCACAAGGGGACUGAGAUACGGCCCUUACUCCUACGGGAGGCAGCAGUGGGGAAUAUUGGACAAUGGGGGCAACCCUGAUCCAACAACUCUGUGUGCACGAAGAGGGUUUUCGGAUCGUAAAGUGCUUUCAGCAGGGAGGAAGAAAGUGACUGUACCUGCAGAAGAAGCGACGG